CCAUCGCAUGUUGNUNAGAUCAAAGAGAGCCUNUGCUUGCAUGCUNUCGCCCAAGGAGGGGGUCGCGANGUAUCAGCUUGUUGGUGGGGUAANGGCCUACCAAGGCUACGANGNGUAGCGGAUCUGAGAGGAUGAUCCGUCACAUUGGGACUGAGAUACGGCCCAGACUCCUACGGGAGGCAGCAGUGGGGAAUAUUGCGCAAUGGGNGAAAGCCUGACGCAGCGACGCCGCGUGNGGGAGGAAGCCUUUCGGGNUGUAAACCUCUGUCAGAGGGGAAGAAACUNNCCGGUUCNAAUAGGGUNGGCNAUUGACGGUACCCUCAGAGGAAGCGCCGGCUAACUCCGUGCCAGC
rnacentral:rRNA from 1 species